UGAGGAAUAUUGGUCAAUGGACGCAAGUCUGAACCAGCCAUGCCGCGUGCAGGAAGACGGCUCUAUGAGUUGUAAACUGCUUUUGUACGAGGGUAAUAUCAUUUACGUGUAGAUGAUUGAAAGUAUCGUAUGAAUAAGGAUCGGCUAACUCCGUGCCAGCAGCCGCGGUAAUACGGAGGAUUCGAGCGUUAUCCGGAUUUAUUGGGUUUAAAGGGUGCGCAGGCGGGACUUUAAGUUAGUGGUUAAAUCGGCAGGCUCAACCUGCUCCCAGCCAUUAAUACUGGAGACCUAGAGAUUAGAUGCAGAGGGCGGAAUGAGUAGUGUAGCGGUGAAAUGCUUAGAUAUUACUCAGAACACCGAUUGCGAAGGCAGCUCUCUAAUCUAUAUCUGACGCUCAGGCACGAAAGCGUGGGGAUCAAACA
rnacentral:rRNA from 1 species